rnacentral:rRNA from 1 species
CCUACGGGAGGCAGCAGUGGGGAAUAUUGCACAAUGGGCGCAAGCCUGAUGCAGCAACGCCGCGUGAGGGACGACGGCCUUCGGGUUGUAAACCUCUUUUAGUAGGGAAGAAGCGAAAGUGACGGUACCUGCAGAAAAAGCACCGGCUAACUACGUGCCAGCAGCCGCGGUAAUACGUA